AUUGAACGCUGGCGGCAGGCCUAACACAUGCAAGUCGAGCGAGAGGCGGACGGGUGAGUAAUGUAUGGGGAUCUGCCCGAUAAAGGGGGAUAACUACUGGAAACGGUGGCUAAUACCGCAUACUAUCGGAUGAACCACUAGGGGAUUAGCGAGUAGGGGGGGUAAAGGCACACCUAGGCGACGAUCUCUAGCUGGUCUGAGAGGGUGAUGGGCGACACUUGUGCGGAGACACGACCCAGACUCCUACGGGAGGCAGCAGUGGGGAAUAUUGCACAAUAGGCGCAAGCCUGAUGCAGCCAUGCCGCGUGAAUGGAGAAGGCAUUAGGAUUGUAAAGUACUUUCAGCGGAUAGUCGUUACCUACUGGAGAAGCACCGGCUAACUCCGUGCCAGCGGCCGCCGUACUAC
rnacentral:rRNA from 1 species